UUGCAUGGGUUUUCUCAAAGAAGCCUUGUUGAAUGGUUAGUGAAGAGGGGGCAGCGAUCAACCUUUCUUUGGGCCUCAGCCUUCCCAGCUGUGAAGUGGGCAAAGUGCUGCCUGAAGAGGCCACGGGGAAGGGCUUGGGAUGAAGGAGGUGGAAGGACAUUGAAGGGCGUGAGCUCACUGCCCCUUCACACUGUGACUGGAGUGAAGAUGAUGUGAGUCUCAGACUUGAUAAGAUGCAUUUCUUCUCAUCAUGGAUCAAAGCUAUUUUUAUCAUUGCCCUGGAAUUUCCUCUUUAUUCAGAAACGGCUUUUGUACCUGCAGUAGACAUUUGUGAAUUGAGAAAAUAGUGGAAUAUUUGAAUUUAGUCACUGUGGUGCAUGCUGAUUCUGCCUAAACUACACAUUCCUAUGGCUUUAAUUGCAAUCCUAUUUCAUGAUGGAUUCUACAACCAAUUAAGGUUUUGAAUUCCUAGAUGACCAAGCAAAGCCUUCUGUGAUACACAAGAUGGAACACAGAAUGACGAAGAAUUUAUCCACCUCUAAGAACCUGUGAUUGAAAGAUUCUUAUUCUCUAUGUCCAAUUAUUCAAUUACAGUUCAAAAACUUAAUUGUGUGUUUGGUAACAUAAAAUGUAAAGCAGUUUAAAAUCAUAAAUAUUUCAACCAAUAAAAUGUUAAAUAUUAUCUUUAUUAAAAUACCCUUUCUUUGGUUGGCUAGUGAGUUAAAACACAUGAAUAUUUUUGGCAACUAUAAUUAA